CCUACGGGAGGCAGCAGUGAGGAAUAUUGGUCAAUGGGCGCGAGCCUGAACCAGCCAAGUCGCGUGAGGGAGGACGGCCCUACGGGUUGUAAACCUCUUUUGCCGGGGAGCAACGGGCGUCACGUGUGGCGUCACUGAGAGUACCCGGAGAAAAAGCAUCGGCUAACUCCGUGCCAGCAGCCGCGGUAAUACGGGGGAUGCGAGGUUUAUCCGGAUUUAUUGGGUUUAAAGGGUGCGUAGGCGGAUCGUUAAGUCAGUGGUCAAAUUCAGGGGCUCAACCCCGUCCCGCCAUUGAUACUGGCGAUCUUGAGUGGAAGAGAGGUAGGCGGAAUGCGUGGUGUAGCGGUGAAAUGCAUAGAUAUCACGCAGAACCCCGAUUGCGAAGGCAGCAUGCCGGCUUCCGACUGACGCUGAAGCACGAAAGCGUGGGGAUCGAACAGGAUUAGAUACCCUAGUAGUC
rnacentral:rRNA from 1 species